AGGAAUAUUGGUCAAUGGGCGAGAGCCUGAACCAGCCAAGUAGCGUGCAGGACGACGGCCCUAUGGGUUGUAAACUGCUUUUAUAAGGGAAUAAAGUGAGUCUCGUGAGACUUUUUGCAUGUACCUUAUGAAUAAGGACCGGCUAAUUCCGUGCCAGCAGCCGCGGUAAUACGGAAGGUCCGGGCGUUAUCCGGAUUUAUUGGGUUUAAAGGGAGCGUAGGCCGGAGAUUAAGCGUGUUGUGAAAUGUAGACGCUCAACGUCUGCACUGCAGCGCGAACUGGUUUCCUUGAGUACGCACAAAGUGGGCGGAAUUCGUGGUGUAGCGGUGAAAUGCUUAGAUAUCACGAAGAACUCCGAUUGCGAAGGCAGCUCACUGGAGCGCAACUGACGCUGAAGCUCGAAAGUGCGGGUAUCGAACAGGAUUAGAUACCCUGGUAGUCCGCACGGUAAACGAUGGAUGCCCGCUGUUGGUCUGAAUAGGUCAGCGGCCAAGCGAAAGCAUUAAGCAUCCCACCUGGGGAGUACGCCGGCAACGGUGAAACUCAAAGGAAUUGACGGGGGCCCGCACAAGCGGAGGAACAUGUGGUUUAAUUCGAUGAUACGCGAGGAACCUUACCCGGGCUUGAAUUGCAGAGGAAGGAUUUGGAGACAAUGACGCCCUUCGGGGUCUCUGUGAAGGUGCUGCAUGGUUGUCGUCAGCUCGUGCCGUGAGGUGUCGGCUUAAGUGCCAUAACGAGCGCAACCCCUCUCCUUAGUUGCCAUCAGGUCAAGCUGGGCACUCUGGGGACACUGCCACCGUAAGGUGUGAGGAAGGUGGGGAUGACGUCAAAUCAGCACGGCCCUUACGUCCGGGGCUACACACGUGUUACAAUGGCAGGUACAGAGAGAUGGUGUUCUGCAAAGCGCAUCAAAUCCUUAAAGCCUGUCUCAGUUCGGACUGGGGUCUGCAACCCGACCCCACGAAGCUGGAUUCGCUAGUAAUCGCGCAUCAGCCAUGGCGCGGUGAAUACGUUCCCG
rnacentral:rRNA from 1 species